UUGCCCGUAGUCUAGAGGAUUAUGACAACGGCCUUCGGAGCCGUAGGUCGUGGGUUCGAAUCCCACCGGGCCCG
rnacentral:tRNA from 1 species